rnacentral:rRNA from 1 species
CGGGUGAGUAAUGCGUGACCAACCUGCCCCAUGCUCCAGAAUAGCUCUUGGAAACGGGUGGUAAUGCUGGAUGCUCCAACUUGACGCAUGUCUUGCUGGGAAAGUGUUUAGUGGCAUGGGAUGGGGUCGCGUCCUAUCAGCUUGUAGGCGGGGUAAUGGCCCACCUAGGCUUCGACGGGUAACCGGCCUGAGAGGGCGGACGGCCACAUUGGGACUGAGAUACGGCCCAGACUCCUACGGGAGGCAGCAGCU